GGGCAUUUCCACUGUUUGUUGUUGAGGAGGAUACUUGUCCCUGCAGAAGAAAGUUUAAUCUUGAAGUAUGGAAGAAUAAGUCUCUUUCAUGGCACCUUAGCUUGAUACCUCCAUCAAUUUUCAAGUUCCAAGCUGUAGAUGGCGGUCUCCAAGCAUGGCAACUGGUGCGUGAUGACACACGGGACCGCAAAGCUGCACUUGAGUAGUUCCAGAGAACGGAUGAUACCCAGAUUCCGUCGGGAUUUAAAUCAUCUAAAUUCUGUAAUUCAUGAAUUUCAAGUAUACCAACAGUGAGCUUUAUAAAAGGCAGUAUCCAAAAUACCAAGAAAUCAUGAUGGGUUGGGUCGUCAAAG